rnacentral:rRNA from 1 species
CCAUCCUCCAAGGCUAAAUACUCCUGACUGACCGAUAGUGAACCAGUACCGUGAGGGAAAGGCGAAAAGAACCCCGGCGAGGGGAGUGAAAAAGAACCUGAAACCGUGUACGUACAAGCAGUGGGAGCACGCUUAGGCGUGUGACUGCGUACCUUUUGUAUAAUGGGUCAGCGACUUAUAUUCUGUAGCAAGGUUAACCGAAUAGGGGAGCCGAAGGGAAACCGAGUCUUAACUGGGCGUUAAGUUGCAGGGUAUAGACCCGAAACCCGGUGAUCUAGCCAUGGGCAGGUUGAAGGUUGGGUAACACUAACUGGAGGACCGAACCGACUAAUGUUGAAAAAUUAGCGGAUGACUUGUGGCUGGGGGUGAAAGGCCAAUCAAACCGGGAGAUAGCUGGUUCUCCCCGAAAGCUAUUUAGGUAGCGCCUCGUGAAUUCAUCUCCGGGGGUAGAGCACUGUUUCGGCAAGGGGGUCAUCCCGACUUACCAACCCGAUGCAAACUGCGAAUACCGGAGAAUGUUAUCACGGGAGACACACGGCGGGUGCUAACGUCCGUCGUGAAGAGGGAAACAACCCAGACCGCCAGCUAAGGUCCCAAAGUCAUGGUUAAGUGGGAAACGAUGUGGGAAGGCCCAGACAGCCAGGAUGUUGGCUUAGAAGCAGCCAUCAUUUAAAGAAAGCGUAAUAGCUCACUGGUCGAGUCGGCCUGCGCGGAAGAUGUAACGGGGCUAAACCAUGCACCGAAGCUGCGGCAGCGANGCUUAUGCGUUGUUGGGUAGGGGAGCGUUCUGUAAGCCUGCGAAGGUGUGCUGUGAGGCAUGCUGGAGGUAUCAGAAGUGCGAAUGCUGACAUAAGUAACGAUAAAGCGGGUGAAAAGCCCGCUCGCCGGAAGACCAAGGGUUCCUGUCCAACGUUAAUCGGGGCAGGGUGAGUCGACCCCUAAGGCGAGGCCGAAAGGCGUAGUCGAUGGGAAACAGGUUAAUAUUCCUGUACUUGGUGUUACUGCGAAGGGGGGACGGAGAAGGCUAUGUUGGCCGGGCGACGGUUGUCCCGGUUUAAGCGUGUAGGCUGGUUUUCCAGGCAAAUCCGGAAAAUCAAGGCUGAGGCGUGAUGACGAGGCACUACGGUGCUGAAGCAACAAAUGCCCUGCUUCCAGGAAAAGCCUCUAAGCAUCAGGUAACAUCAAAUCGUACCCCAAACCGACACAGGUGGUCAGGUAGAGAAUACCAAGGCGCUUGAGAGAACUCGGGUGAAGGAACUAGGCAAAAUGGUGCCGUAACUUCGGGAGAAGGCACGCUGAUAUGUAGGUGAAGUCCCUUGCGGAUGGAGCUGAAAUCAGUCGAAGAUACCAGCUGGCUGCAACUGUUUAUUAAAAACACAGCACUGUGCAAACACGAAAGUGGACGUAUACGGUGUGACGCCUGCCCGGUGCCGGAAGGUUAAUUGAUGGGGUCAGCGCAAGCGAAGCUCUUGAUCGAAGCCCCGGUAAACGGCGGCCGUAACUAUAACGGUCCUAAGGUAGCGAAAUUCCUUGUCGGGUAAGUUCCGACCUGCACGAAUGGCGUAAUGAUGGCCAGGCUGUCUCCACCCGAGACUCAGUGAAAUUGAACUCGCUGUGAAGAUGCAGUGUACCCGCGGCAAGACGGAAAGACCCCGUGAACCUUUACUAUAGCUUGACACUGAACAUUGAGCCUUGAUGUGUAGGAUAGGUGGGAGGCUUUGAAGUGUGGACGCCAGUCUGCAUGGAGCCGGCCUUGAAAUACCACCCUUUAAUGUUUGAUGUUCUAACGUGGACCCGUGAUCCGGGUUGCGGACAGUGUCUGGUGGGUAGUUUGACUGGGGCGGUCUCCUCCUAAAGAGUAACGGAGGAGCACGAAGGUUGGCUAAUCCUGGUCGGACAUCAGGAGGUUAGUGCAAUGGCAUAAGCCAGCUUGACUGCGAGCGUGACGGCGCGAGCAGGUGCGAAAGCAGGUCAUAGUGAUCCGGUGGUUCUGAAUGGAAGGGCCAUCGCUCAACGGAUAAAAGGUACUCCGGGGAUAACAGGCUGAUACCGCCCAAGAGUUCAUAUCGACGGCGGUGUUUGGCACCUCGAUGUCGGCUCAUCACAUCCUGGGGCUGAAGUAGGUCCCAAGGGUAUGGCUGUUCGCCAUUUAAAGUGGUACGCGAGCUGGGUUUAGAACGUCGUGAGACAGUUCGGUCCCUAUCUGCCGUGGGCGCUGGAGAACUGAGGGGGGCUGCUCCUAGUACGAGAGGACCGGAGUGGACGCAUCACUGGUGUUCGGGUUGUCAUGCCAAUGGCACUGCCCGGUAGCUAAAUGCGGAAGAGAUAAGUGCUGAAAGCAUCUAAGCACGAAACUUGCCCCGAGAUGAGUUCUCCCUGACCCUUUAAGGGUCCUGAAGGAACGUUGAAGACGACGACGUUGAUAGGCCGGGUGUGUAAGCGCAGCGAUGCGUUGAGCUAACCGGUACUAAUGAACCGUGAGGCUUAACCUU